UACGAAGGGGCUAGCGUUGUUCGGAAUUACUGGGCGUAAAGGGCGCGUAGGCGGUGUGUCAAGUCAGGCCGUGAAAGCCCCGGGCUCAACCUGGGAACAGCCGCUUGAGACUGGCACGCUCGAGUUCGGAGAGGAUGUGGAAUUCCCAGUGUAGAGGUGAAAUUCGUAGAUAUUGGGAAGAACACCGAUGGACGAAGGCAGCCAUCUGGACCGACACUGACGCUGAGGCGCGAAAGCGUGGGAGC
rnacentral:rRNA from 1 species